rnacentral:rRNA from 1 species
UACGUAGGGUGCAAGCGUUAUCGGAAUUACUGGGCGUAAAGCGUGCGCAGGCGGUUUGUAAGUCUGUCGUGAAAUCCCCGGGCUCAACCUGGGAACUGCAUUUGUGACUGCAUGGCUAGAGUACGGUAGAGGGGGAUGGAAUUCCGCGUGUAGCAGUGAAAUGCGUAGAUAUGCGGAGGAACACCGAUGGCGAAGGCAAUCCCCUGGACCUGUACUGACGCUCAUGCACGAAGCGUGG